rnacentral:rRNA from 1 species
AACGCGAAGAACCUUACCCAGACUUGACAUACACGUGACAGUUCCAGAAAUGGAAUCUUCCUUCGGGACACGUGAACAGGUGCUGCAUGGCUGUCGUCAGCUCGUGCCGUGAGGUGUUGGGUUAAGUCCCGCAACGAGCGCAACCCUUAUCAUUAGUUGCCAACAUUUAAGGUGGGAACUCUAAUGAGACUGCCUGGGUUAACCAGGAGGAAGGUGAGGAUGACGUCAAGUCCGCAUGGCCCUUAUGUCUGGGGCUACACACGUGCUACAAUGGACGGUACAGAAGGCAGCGAAGCCGCGAGGUGGAGCAAAUCCCAAAAGCCGUCCUCAGUUCAGAUUGUAGUCUGCAACUCGACUACAUGAAGACGGAAUUGCUAGUAAUGGCAGGUCAGCAACACUGCCGUGAAUACGUUCCCGGGCCUUGUACACACUGCUACAGU